rnacentral:pre_miRNA from 1 species
AUAUAUAGGAAACAUAUCAAGUGAGAGAGAAUUUAUUAUGAGAAAUAAGAGGGUUAAAAUAUAACUCUCAGAUUAAUCAAGUGAGAGAAAAUUAAUCUAAGGGUUAUAUUUUAACUCUCUCAUCUCUCAUAAUAAAUUCUCUCUCACUUGAUAUGUUUCCUAUAUAU